AGGUUUGCUGUCUCACUAGAUAAGUAAUCUGCACAGUAGUGAUCUGCACAGUAGUCUGGCUUGGGAAAAGAAACUCACAUCAUCUUCCAGCAAAUUUACUGGAUAUUAUAACUAGAAGCCAUUUUAAGAAGGAACCUAUUACCUUUAUUUGGACUGCUGUAGAGAUCAGAAACUCUGCAUGUUCACAUCUCUUGGAACAAAAUUCAUUUCACUGCAUGGGUUCAGUGGGUAGUUGCCUAAUGAACUUAACAUGUCACAGUAGAGUUACUCUGACACAAGCCAACUCAGAGUGACGCACUAUAGGGAACAGGUGUUCCAAUUCAGAUUAACUGGAAGUCACCUUCCUGAAGACCUGGAGUUUGGGGGAGCCUGCCUUCCAAGGUCAGGGGUAUGGUAAAUCACACCUGUUUAUAUCCCAGUGCCAGAACAAAAGGCAUUCACUCAUAUGGUUCCUAUCACCCCUUCCCCAGUGCUGUACAUGGAUACCUGUCGAUAACAAUGUGAGGAAAACACUCUCUGAUUCUGUUUGUGCCCCACCCAAAAGGGUGGUCUUGAGCAAUGCCACAGCUCUGGCUAUUGCCACACCAACUGUCACCUCACCCUUGGGUCACAUAGCCUUAAAAUAUCCAGAGAGAAACUUUUCCUGGUGCCAGCCACAUGCUACUGUCAUUCACUCCACUGAACACUUCAGUUGAAAGGGAUUUUGUCUGGCUCCAUUUAUAACCCACUGCUGCUCAAUUCCUGGUGGGCACUACCACUGAAAGAAUUGGGGAGAGAAAAGCGGCAACCAUUGUUUUGUCCUCUGGUGUAUAUGACGAGGGAGGUGGCCAUGCUCACAGUGGCAACAGAGAACACAACAAAUACUGCUGCCAGUAAACCUACCUACACAGGCUCCACUAUUGGCCACUCCUACACUUUGUCUGGCCACUCUCUGCUGAACAAACUGGAUUCAUAUGCCACAGAGGGAACACCAUAAUUCAUGGCCUUGCCUCCACCUGUGAAUUACCAGGGCCCACAACAAGUAUCCUAUCCCUCUCACCACUAUUUGUGUACCUAGUGCCAGAGUAAUAGAACCAGAUCAAUAGUGCCUAAGGAAACCUCCAUAAUCUAUAGGGACUACCCCUCUCAGUUAGAGAGUAGUUACACAGUGUUUACUCCACUUACUUUGUGUCUACAUCACAUUGCCUGAACAUUUAGAUUAUCCCAACAAUUGCUUGAUUUGUAGAAACAGUGGGCCUUUCCAACUUCAAUAUGGUAUGCAAUGUGACCAAACUUCAUAAUUUCAGCCAAAGAAACCACAAAGAGAUUAUAAUAUACUGCUCUUAUGAAUAUAAACUCAACAUUGCCUAACAAACUGAUACCCCAAGAAACAUCUACAGAGCAAAACCACUUAUUAAGAAGGCCAUUCCAUAAAAGUGGUAGAAAUAUCCAUUCCACCAGAGGUACAACUCAUAGGAAUAUAGGAAUAAAAGAAAUAUGAAAAAAG
rnacentral:lncRNA from 1 species